rnacentral:rRNA from 1 species
UACGAGAGGCCCAAGCGUUAUUCGGAUUUACUGGGCUUAAAGAGUUCGUAGGCGGCGCAGAAAGUAGGGUGUGAAAGCCCUCGGCUCAACCGAGGAAUUGCGCCCUAAACUACUGUGCUCGAGGGACCUAGAGGUGAGCAGAACUGAUGGUGGAGCGGUGAAAUGCGUUGAUAUCAUCAGGAAUACCGGAGGCGAAGGCGGCUCACUGGGGGUCUUCUGACGCUGAGGAACGAAAGCCAGGGGAGCGAACGGG